UCCGUUGUAGUCUAGUUGGUUAGGAUAUCUGGCUUUCACCCAGGAGACCCGGGUUUGAUUCCCGGCAACGGAA